rnacentral:rRNA from 1 species
CCUUCCGUAGGGGAACCUGCGGAAGGAUCAUUACAGUAUUCUUUUUGCCAGCGCUUAAUUGCGCGGCGAAAAAACCUUACACACAGUGUUUUUUGUUAUUACAAGAACUUUUGCUUUGGUCUGGACUAGAAAUAGUUUGGGCCAGAGGUUUACUGAACUAAACUUCAAUAUUUAUAUUGAAUUGUUAUUUAUUUAAUUGUCAAUUUGUUGAUUAAAUUCAAAAAAUCUUCAAAACUUUCAACAACGGAUCUCUUGGUUCUCGCAUCGAUGAAGAACGCAGCGAAAUGCGAUAAGUAAUAUGAAUUGCAGAUUUUCGUGAAUCAUCGAAUCUUUGAACGCACAUUGCGCCCUCUGGUAUUCCAGAGGGCAUGCCUGUUUGAGCGUCAUUUCUCUCUCAAACCUUCGGGUUUGGUAUUGAGUGAUACUCUUAGUCGAACUAGGCGUUUGCUUGAAAUGUAUUGGCAUGAGUGGUACUGGAUAGUGCUAUAUGACUUUCAAUGUAUUAGGUUUAUCCAACUCGUUGAAUAGUUUAAUGGUAUAUUUCUCGGUAUUCUAGGCUCGGCCUUACAAUAUAACAAACAAGUUUGACCUCAAAUCAGGUAGGAUUACCCGCUGAACUUAAGCAUAUCAAUAAGCCGGAGGAAG